CACACUGUUGGCCUGUGCAGAUGGAUGUUGCUGGGCCAGGCAUAUUGCUCUGAGCAGAGCUGGGAGAUUCCUGCUGGAGAAGGGAGGCUGGGAACAGGUGGCAGGCAGCAGCUCUGCCAGCCAGGGUGAAUUCCUGUUAAAAUGCCUGUUUAUUCCCAUUUUGGCUUUCUUUUGCUGACCACAGCUUUGGGGAUCUUUGGACAAUGGGUUCAUAUCCAUAGUAGAUGAAGAGUAAGGGAGAAUUAACAUGUCCCCUGCAAGAACACAUUAGCCCUUGUAAAUCGAUCGUUCCUCUGCCUUACAGAUUACCUGC
rnacentral:lncRNA from 1 species